AGGUUAUCUUCGAGAAACUAAAAAAAAAUUCAAGAGUUUUUUUAUUCCAAUCGUUCUGUGAUUUGAUAAUAUUCUAUAAAAAUAUGUCAAUUAAAAAAUUUUAAAAAUAUAUAAAUUUAGAAAAACUAUAAGAUUUUCCAUAAAACUUUGUUUUUUUAUAAAAAUAAUAGAAGUAAAAGCGACAGGUGUGCUUCAUAUAGACAUAUAAGUAAUAAGAAGAUAAUAUUUAAGUGUAGAGAAGGAACAGCAUUUGCGAACAUAAGAGUGUGAGUGAUCACGUCCUGCACUUUCCUAAGCACCUGCGGAGCCAGAAUGGAUCCGGCAGGUGCAAAAAGGAUACGGGAAACCCUAAAGAACUUUAUGCAAUUCUCGCUGAACAGCUUGGCGCGUCCUAGCUGGCCUGCUUCCAGAAUAAGCCGCCAGAGGUCCGGCGUUACGUGCGAACCGAGGCCAUACCGAUGAAUCUGGUGACGUAAGAGAAUAAAACCAUCAUAAAGGCUUGCUGGUUCAUUAGCGCAAACCGCGGAGCAUGGCAUCCUUGUAGAGAGAGCGAGAUUAUAAUCCAUAGUCUGAUCUCAGUAUAUCCACUGAUACGUAUGUACUUGUCUUCAAUGCUGCAGCAAAACUCAACAAUAAUGAGAGAUAAUAUACUUGACUUCCACUCGAAGAGGUCGGGUAGAUAAGAGAAGAGUGAACCUGCAAAAUUGACUUUCGUAAUUACCGACCGAGAUUGACAAUAUCCAAGACGGCUGCACCGAAUACCGCAUCCCUCAAGGGGUUAAUUUUAUUUCGACUAUUCGGGCAACAUGCGAAUCGAAGACGUUCGUCACAAAGGAAUCUGUCAUCAGGACACACGAUAAUAGUACAUACGUCGACACAUGUCGUCGAAAGAGUUCAGUGUCAAACGUCAGCGAUUUGUUUUCAUGAUGCAUGGAACGAUAUGGUUGCACAACGUCGAUUUAUCGCUGACGAAUGUUAUUGGUGACUCGUGAUCAGCAUGAAGGCAAUAUCUUCACGGACGAGUCGUCGAGAUGUCGAGCGAGCCGAUUUUAAAAAUCAAUUCAUCUCCACGCGCCUGCGGAUAACGCAGUUGAUGUCCAGCUUUUAAUACGUUGUUAAGAUUGGUAUUGAAAUGGAAUGAUCGUGUUUCAAGUGUGGACAAAAUAGGAAAGUACAAAUUUUUUUUACCACACACUUCAAUAUUCACCUAUUCAUAUUGGGAUCAACCGAGUUUCAUCUCGUAAAAGUGCAUGGACAAUUAACAUCGCAUCCAUUCACGAAAGUUCAUAGAUGAACAACGGAGAUAGUUGUCGGAAGUAAGCUAUAAUUUGGAAUUGUCUAAUUGUCUCAUAACGCUCCAAAGAUUCACGGAAACGGGGGCGAGUAAUCCUGAAUAUCUCAUGAAACUCUUGGCCCCUCAAAGCAUCCAAGGAGAACUGGUUUUAAACUCAUCAUCAUCACCUAGCUGUUCACGAUACAACAUUCCAAAAUAAUCAAAUGUCCCUGAAAACGACAAAACAUCGAUGAAUCAAUAUAUUAAUCAAAGAUAUAACAGAAAAUGGAAUUUGAAAAAAUGGUGAAUUAUUGCAGAGACCUACUUUCAUCGCCCUUCUUAAAGUUGCUCACGCGCAACAUCCUUGUUAACUUCCGGAUAGACAAGAAAAGAGAGUAUGACCUGUUGCUGACGACAAAUAAUUAGCGGAUCGCUCUUUGGAAGUGUCAACAGAAGGUGUAGAAUCUAUGAAACAUAUGUUCUAUAAUAAUGCAUUCACAAUGGAAUCUUGGUAUAGCUUUAAAUAUACAAUAAUUCUAUCAUAAAA